rnacentral:lncRNA from 1 species
CGGUCCGUCCACCAUCUCCCAGGAUAUCUAGUCAGGCUGACCACAUUAUACAAUUACCCAUUUACAUAAUCUUUCAUUCUCUUUUUCCCUCAGUCAGCAUUAUCGAUACACAUACAAACAAGCAAAACGAUAAUUUAUGCCAAACAGACAACAUACAGUAUUAAUAUCCCAGUCAUUCAAUCCAUAAUCAGUAAAACAGUAAAAUAUGCACACGAAACU